CAAUAGCGUAUAUUAAAGCUGUUGCGGUUAAAAAGCUCGUAGUUGGAUUUCUGUCAAGGACAACUGGUCCGCCCUCCGGGUGAGCACAUAGUUUGGUCUUGGCAUCUUGCUGGAAACUGUUGCUGCACUUGGUUGUGUGGCGCAGCAUCCAGCACUUUCACUUUGAGGAAAUUGGAGUGUUUCAAGCAGGCACAUGCCUUUGGACACAGUAGCAUGGAAUAAUUAGAUUGGGCUUUUGCUCCAAUUUGUCGGUUUCUGGAGCUGAGGUGAGAAUUAAUGGGGAUUGUUGGGGGCAUCCGAAUUUAGUCGUCAGAGGUGAAAUUCUUGGAUCUGCUAAAGACGGACAACUGCGAAAGCGUUUGCCCAGGAUGUUUUCAUUGA
rnacentral:rRNA from 1 species